AAUUUCCAUACCCAGCGUAAGCAGAAAGAUAAAGUCUGCCGCGGCUGGGUCUUGAACCCGCGACCUUCGAAUUACUAGAUCGACGCUCUGCCAACUGAGCUACACGGUCAGACGGAUUUAAGACUGGAAAUUAGUAACGCAUCGUAAAACAUCCAGGUAAACAUGUUCCAAUUUAUUCCUAUAAAUACGCAAAUUGACGCAUGGUUAACAACUUGUUUCUCCAAUUGUUAUAAAAACUAUUUCAUAGUUCAUACAGGAACUUUUAAAUUCACCGGAGUCCGGAAAGGUACGUAUAAAACCUUUUAUAUGAAAAUUGUGAACAAAAUUUAAAAAGUUCCUUUAAUUAAAGCAUUUGCACAAGACGUGGACUAAUAGUAGACUAAUAUUAUACAUUAUAACGAACUAAUAAUAAAAUGUGGCUAAUUUGACUAUCUUUUAAAAUAAUUACAUGCAACAGAAAUGAUGAAAUCACAUUAUAAUUUUGAUAAAUCAUAAUACAAAAUAAGCUUGUUUAUGACAUCACAGGAAGCAGACAAACAAAUAUAAGCGCGCCACUAAAUCGUGUUGAAGAGCAUAGCAAUUAUUUGCCUGUGGACGCUGGACCAGAGGAUCUCGAAAUUGAUUGGCAAAAAGUCAUUUGGAAGGUAAGCUGGGAGAAUAUCUAGUUCGUCUUUUUUCAAGCUUGGUUUGUUGCAUGUUGCGUGAGUCCAUUGCAUUAUUCAAGAUUUUUGCAGUGAUAGAGACAAGUAGAAAUGCGGGACAGCCAGCGAAAUAUAUCGCGGGCGCAAAAAUUCGCGCAAUUCUGCAGCGUCACUGAUAAUAUACCGCUAGAAUCAGACAUCUCAAGCGAACUUUAGAGCCAAUUAUAUAUGCGUAUAUAUGAAAAAUGGCAACCAAGGAGUAAUAUUUAUCAGUAGCAAAUUUAUAGUGAACUUUUAAGUCCAUGUCUGAUCUAUUUUAUUCCAAUAUAUUUACUUCCCUAUAUACGGUGCAGCGCUCUAACCAUGCAACUGAGCAACAUGCAAGGUGACGCAUGACAAUACACAGUGUAUAAUGUGAGCUUAUCUUUUCUAUAUAUUCUUUUCUGGCAUAAACAUGAAUUGGUCAUGCAUAUGGACAUAUACGAACAUGUGUACAUGAUCGAGAGUGCGGCUAAAGUAGUUUUUCCCUAUCCAUGCACAGGCACUGUUCUUCAAGAAAUUAAAUUAAAUAGAGUAUACAGAGCAGCACUGGAUACAGGUCCCGACAACUGCAGAGUUAAAAACCAUAUAUAUGCUGGAUGUUUUAUUGUAGAAAU